rnacentral:RNase_P_RNA from 1 species
CGAGCCGGGCGGACGGCCGCGUGGAGCCCCCAGGGGCUUCCCGAGGAACGUCCGGACUCCAUAGGGCAGGGUGGUGGCUAACGGCCACCCGGGGUGACCCGCGGGACAGUGCCACAGAAAACAAACCGCCGGGGACUUCGGUCCUCGGUAAGGGUGAAACGGUGGUGUAAGAGACCACCAGUGCCCAGGGUGACCUGGGCAGCUAGGUAAACCCCACCCGGAGCAAGGUCAAAAGGAGCCGCUGUAAAAGGCGCGCUCUGCGCGGACGUUCGAGGGCUGCCCGCCCGAGUCCGCGGGUAGACCGCAUGAGGCCAACGGCAACGUUGGUCCUAGAUGGAUGGCCGUCUCCCCGGCCGCUGCGAGGCGACCGGGUGACAAAAUCCGGCGUACAGCUCGACUCGUCUG